rnacentral:rRNA from 1 species
UGAGCAAUCUGCCCUUCUCAUCGGAAUAAGCGUUGGAAACGACGUCUAAUGCCGAAUACGACCUCCUUUCGCAUGAUCGGAGGUGGAAAGCUCCGGCGGAGAAGGAUGAGCUCGCGGCCUGUCAGCUAGUUGGUGUGGGUAAUGGCCCACCAAGGCGACGACGGGUAGCCGGCCUGAGAGGGUGACCGGCCACACUGGGACUGAGACACGGCCCAGACCUCCUACGGGAGCAG